rnacentral:rRNA from 1 species
AUUCCAGCUCCAAUAGCGUAUAUUAAAGUUGUUGCGGUUAAAAAGCUCGUAGUUGGAUUUCUGUCGAUGACUGGUGGUCCUCUCUAUGAGAGUGUAUCUACUUAGGCGUUGGCAUCCUCAUGAGAGACGUUUCUGUGCUUGAUUGCAUGGUGCGGAUUUCAUGACUUUUACUUUGAGGAAAUUAGAGUGUUCACGGCAGGCACGCGCCUUGAAUACAUUAGCAUGGAAUAAUAAUAUAGGAUCGAGAUUCUAUUUUGUUGGUUUCUAGAAUCACGAUAAUGAUUAAUAGGGAUAAUUGGGGGCAUUUGUAUUAACGCGUCAGAGGUGGAAUUCUUGGAUUGCGUUACGACAAACUACUGCGAAAGCAUUUGCCAAGGAUGUUUUCAUCG